GGCGGCGUGCUCGGUGUGUCAGCACAGAGAUGAUGGCCUGGCUCCUUUUCAUCGCCGGGAUCCUGGUCCACUUCCCCGACCCGCUGCUGGGGAACGCUUCAGAAUACCAGCUGGAGUCGGACACCCAGACCCAAUGCCAGCUGUUGAGGGGCGUGGCCGCUGCCAAACAACCAGGUGACGUCCCCCACUGCUUUGAGGAUGGCAGCUUCAGACCCGUGCAGUGCAGUGGGCGGAGUCAGGAGUGCUGGUGUGUUGAUGCCGAUGGUCGGGAGAUUGCUGGGACUCGAACCAACAACUCUGCCCUUUCCUGUCCGUCUGUCUGCCAGCUGCAGACCCGUCUGCGCUGCUCUCCAUCAGGCCUCUUCGAGGCGAUCCAGUGCGACUCCAGCAGGGGGCAGUGUUGGUGUGUGGACCAGGAUGGCAUGGAGCUGUAUGGGACCCGACAGAACGGGAGACCUCAGAGAUGUCCCGGCAGCUGUCAGGUCCGGGCCCGGCGGCUCAUCCACAGCUCCGGUUCUCCUCCUCAGUGUGCAGAAGACGGCAGCUUCCUCCCCGUUCAGUGUAAAUUCAUCAACAUGACGGACAGGAUGGAGCUGGACCUGCUGCACGCCUUCAACAGGUUUCCGGAAGCUUUCCAGACCUUCAGCAACUUCAGGAAGGUUUUCCCGAUGGUUUCCUCUUAUUGUUUUUGUUCGAACAGCCAAGGCAGAGAGCUGGAAAAUACAGGUGUGGAGCUCCUGUUCUCUGAGAUCCCCGAGUCGGCAUUUUCUGGUCUCAGCUCGGGUCAGUCCUUCUCCCAGACCAACAUCUAUAAAGUCCUGCAGCGGAGGAUGCUGGGAAUCCAGCUGGCUGUCAGCGGCCACUUCAGAUGCCCCUCCCCCUGUGAGGAGGAGCGCCGGGCUGCCCUGGAGACGUCCAGCGUGUUUGUUCCGACCUGCGAGAGAGGAGGGUCAUAUAGCUUCACCCAGUGCCAGCAGGGGGGGCAGUGCUGGUGUGUGGACCCCUCUGGCAGAGAGGUUCCUGGGACCCGGCAGCUGGGGGGCCCCCUGGCCUGUGGUUCAGGACCUGCGGACUGUCCCUCUCAGCGCCGCCGAGCUCUGUCCCGCCUCCUCUCUGGCCCCAUCAGUCCUCCUCUGAAGUCCUCCUCCCGCAGACUUGCAGCUUCCUGUUCCUCCCUCCUUCAGCCUCUGAGGGACCUCCUGCCAGAGGAGGCUGAUGAGACAAACUUCCUGUUCCGCCUUGUGGAAGUGUUGGAUGGCCUCUUCCCGUCAGUGGGCGGAGCUCUGCAGGCUCUGAAUGGCUCCUCCCCUCGUUUCCUCCAGGAGAAUCUGUUUGGAGGAGACUUCCUGAAGAGCGCUGGCGCCCUGAACUUCAGCGGCGAGGUGGGAGAUCAAGGAACCAUCUCUCCCGACUGCCUGUCCCCUCAGAACCCCCGUCUCCAUGAGAACCAGAACCUGGUCCAGUUUGUGAGCAAAGCCCUGGAAGACCCCGCCUUCUUCUCAGUCCUGAAGAACACGCUGAUGAGCAGCUCGAGCUCCGCCUCCCUCUACCAGGUUUUGGCUCCUCUGGUGACCUCCUGCUCUGAGGAGGAGGAGGAUGAAGCAGCCGACAUCUUCAUCCCGCGCUGCACCCCUGGUGGUGCUUUCCAGGAGGUGCAGUGUCGGAGAUCGCAGUGCUGGUGCGUGGACCCUCAGGGUCAGGAGGUGGAGGGAUCCCGGGUGGCAGGUCGUCCUUCUCGUUGUCCGAGUCUCUGCGAGAGAGCGAGGGUCAACGCCCUGAAGGCAAAGGCAAACAUGGCGGCCGGCGCCAAAAUCCACAUCCCAGUGUGUUCGGAGGAUGGCAAAUUCCUGCCGCUGCAGUGUGUGGGAUCACGCUGCUUCUGCGUGGACGCUGAAGGGAGGACGGUCACUUCCUCACAGACAGCAGGGGGCGCCCUCCGGUGUCCAGAAAGCGUCACGCCCAAGUCUUCUGAAGGUCGCUGCUCCGAUGCCCUCGCAGAGGUCGCCGCUUUCAGACAGGAGGUGAACCGCAUCAUCUCUUUGUCUAACUCCUCCCACAUCCCCCUGGGAUAUGGGUUCUUAUUGGCCGAGGGUCUUCGUCUGACUCCUGAGGAGCUCCAGGUCAUCCAAUCAGAGGAGCUACAGCUGUCAGAGGAGCUGCUGAGCGGCUCCAGAGCCGCGCUCCCAUUGGCUGCUUUCUCCACUCUUCAGAUGCUGCUUCCCGCCGGACGCCGCUCCUAUGAGCCGUUCCUGCCGCAGUGCGACGCUGACGGAGGCUGGCUGCACACGCAGUGUUCGCACAGCACAGGUCAGUGUUGGUGCGUUGAUGAGAACGGAGAGUACGUCUCGAACUCCCUGAAGAGCCGGUCUCUCGGCCUGCCCAAGUGUCCGAGCCGCUGUCAGCGAGCUGAGGCUCACUUUCUGCUCUCUGAUUGGAUGAAAGGCUCUGAUGUCAGCAGCUCAGGGUACCGCCCACAGUGCGAGCAGGAUGGUCGCUUCUCCGUGCUGCAGACAGGUGGUGCUGCAGGCUGGUGUGUCCACCCGCAGACUGGAGAGCCAAUCCAAGCAGCAGGGCGGGGCGCCACGGGCCAGCUGAAAUGCCCCAGCUGGUGCGAGCUGCAGAGGCGCCAGUGUGGCCCCGACGGCUCCUUCGCCCCACUGCAGUGUGAUGUCACUUCCUGCUGGUGUGUGACUGAAUACGGACAGGAAGUGGUCGGGACACGGACGCCUCAGCUGACAGGCGUCACGCCAUCGUGUGACCGUCCGCUCUGCCCCGCCCCCACCAUCACACACGGCGCAUUAGUGUGCCGCUCAGCAGCCAACGGCCCUCAGAGCUGUGACCUCAUCUGUAACUAUGGUUACGAGAACUCUCUGCCCGUCAGCAGUUUCCUUUGUGAAACUGAGAGCGGGAGAUGGAGUGGAGACAUCAAACCACUGGGCGGAGCCUGCCAGAUCUCUCAGCCUCUGCAGACGCUGUCGCUGUCUCAGCUGUGGUCGCUGGCAUCCUGCUCUCAGGCCGACCAAACACGCUCGUUGUUGUUCAACAUGAUGACCAGCAGGGGGCUCUGCUCUGCGCAGCUCGGUUCCUCGGGUCGCAGCGUGUCGCUGUGUGACGACUCGUCCGUGAGUCUGCAGUGUGACGGAGCCCCCACCUUAAAGGUGAGCUGGAGCGCCGCCCUCGCUGACCUCCCCGCCGCUUACCUCCCGGACCUCCAUGACGUUGCUCUCUUCCUAAAUGAAACCAGACUUCUCGACGGAGUUCGGGGCCUCCUGCUUGACCUCGGCUCUGCCAUGACACCUGAGCCAAAACUGGUUUCCAUGACGACACCAAGCUUCGGCUGUUACCGCGGUUACCGCCUGGACAGUGACGGGAACGGCUGUGUUGUCUGUCCUGCUGGAAGCUUUUCCCAGGAGGGGGCGUGUCUGCUGUGUCCUGAGGGAACCUAUCAGGAGGAAAAGGGGCGGGGCUUCUGCAAGAGUUGCCCCAAAGGCUCCUCCCCAGUUGGAGCAUCAUCUGUCACUCAAUGUGAGACCAGGUGUGAGAGGCGGGGCCUGAGGUGCUCACAGACAGGUGACUUUCUGCCGGCACAGCCAGACCUUCUGACCAGUAGGUGGAGCUGUUUCAGCAAAGAUGGGGUGGAGCUUGAGUGGACCUCCAGCAGCAAGAUGCUGACUGAUGAAGACUGCUCAGUUCUCACCAGGUUUCAGGAAGUUCCUGGAUCAGAGCUGAUGGCGGCAGCAGAAGACGUCGACAUUCUGCUGACACUCACCUCCGACCUUCUGACCUGUAUCGAUGCGUGUGCAGCAGAGCCGUCCUGCCACCAUGUGGCGCUCUUCAGCAGACAGACCCAGUGUGAGCUGUACAGCACCGACCCCAUCAACACAGUCUGCAACGCUUCACAGCCGUCCAAAGGGUUUCUGGGUAAUCCUGAGGCCGAGCGAUACGAUUGGCUCAGCUGCUCUCUGAAGGUCAGGGGCGGGGCUUCAGGUCUGCUGGUCCUCAGGAAGAAAGGGGAGGAGUUCGGCUUGAAGCUGCAGCAGAGAGCGAUGGUGAAGACGAGGAUGACGAAGGCGCUCUCAGGUGUGUUCAGGACCCAGGUGUUCUCCUCCCGACGCACGUCUCUGUCCGACGCUCACCGUUUCUGUCAGGACGGCUGCAGCCGCCACGAAUGCUGCGACGGCUUCGUCCUCAACCAGAACACCCUGGAAGGAGGCUCUGUGCUCUGUGGUUGGCUGAGAUCUCCAUCCGUGCUGAGCUGCCAGGAUGGAGACUGGGACGUGUCAAGCCAAGGACCGGCCAACCGCACCUGUGGGGCGGGGCUUAGCUAUAACGAGGAGCAGCAGAGCUUCCUGUUUGACUUUGGAGGACAGGCGUUCACCAUCCUUGAUUACGAGGUGCCAGCUGACGGCAAGAACAAAAUAGACCAUCAGCCCUCCAUCGUCAGCUUCCAGGCCGUCUACCUGAGCUCAGGCUCUUUGUGUGCGGCAGCCGACCUCAGCGCUCCUCUGGACGAGUCGCUGCAGCAGAAGUUUGAAGCUCUGUCCAAAGACGACGUGGUCGUGGAUCCUCAAAGGAAGCUUCCGGUUCUUUCCUUCUGGCUCAAUAAAAACAACUACAACUCCCAGCAGGCCUUGCUCUGGUGUCUCACUCGCUGUUACGAGGAGCAGCAGUGCGCGGUGGCGGACCUGGCGGACGCCGACCUGGCAGGUUUCUUCAGCUGCUCGCUGUAUCCGAACACCAGAGUCUGCGGCGCCUACGACAUGGUCCCCAUGGUCCCCUGCCCCCCCCUGAUGGACAGACUACCCCAGAACGCCUACAGCAAGAAAGUGGAGCUGAGUGGACCCGUCAAGAACUUCUACCAGAGGAUUUCCUUCCAGAAGAGCGAUUCCAACGGCGUACGGAGCCGAGCCGUCAUGAGCGAGAACACGCCGCUGUCUCAGGGGUUCAGGGACUGCGAGCGGCGCUGUGACGAGGACCCGUGCUGUCGGGGUUUCGGUUUUGUCGGCUACAACAAAUCACCAGGUUUGGUGUGUCUGGUUCUGGCCAGUCUGGGAGUUCAGACCUGCAGUGAAAAAGACUCGACCUGGACGACUCAGGACUGCAGUCCGACGGAGGCCAAGACCACGCCGUACCCGUUUGGCUGGUACCAGAAACCCGUGAACCAGUGGAGCUCCUCCCCGGCUCUCUGUCCGCCGCUCAGCCUGCCGGAAACCAGAAACAACGUGUCGUUGGACGACUGGCAUCUCCUGCCCGACUCUCUGGUUCUGAUCGACCCCUCCCUCUCCACCUAUGAUGUGAUCCAUGUGAGCAGAGACAUUGCCACAGACAAGGACCGGACCAGAGACUGGUGUCUUUAUGCCUGCCGGGAGGCGGAGUCUUGUGCCGCCGUGUCACUCAGUGAGGUGGAGUCUGCCACGCGGUGCAUCCUCUACCCUGACACCACAGUGUGCGGGCUCUCAUCUUCCAGCACCACCUCCUCCUGUCAGCUGGUCAUCAGAGAGCCCGCCUCCCAGGUGUACCUGAGGACAGAGCGACUACCGUCGGUUACAUCUGUUUCCAUACCGGGUCAAGGGGUACUGGAGGGUGUUGCCGUGGAAACAACGGUGGGUUCUGACAGGAGGAGGGUCAUUCAGUUCCUCGGCGUGCCGUAUGCCCGCCCACCAAUCGGAGCGCUGCGCUUCGAAGCAGCGCAGCCAGCGGAUUGGACGGGGACGUGGGACGCCUCCAAACCACGGCCCAGCUGUCUGCAGCCAGGCGACGGCGAGAAUUCAGCCUCCAGCGAGGACUGUCUGUACCUGAACGUCUUCACUCCUGCUGCUCGGAGGGGGCGUGUCCCUGUCCUCGUUUUCUUCUUCAACCCAUCAGCCGAUGAAACGCCAGGACUGUUGGAUGGCUCCGCCCUUGCUGCCGUGGGCAACAUCGUCGUGGUAACGGCCAGCUACAGGACGGCGGCGCUUGGGUUCCUCAGCACAGGAGCUUCAGGUCUCCGUGGCAACUUUGGGCUGACUGACCAGGAGGCGGUGCUUCGCUGGGUCAAUGCCUACAUCUCGCUGGUGGGCGGAGACUACAACCGGGUGACAGUGGGCGCGGAGCGAGGCGGUGCUGACAUCACCAGCCUGCACCUCCUGUCCAAGCCCCGCCCUCUGUUCCAGCGGAUGAUGCUGAUGGGUGGUUCCGUGUUUUCUCCCUCCCUGGUCCAAACCUCCGCCUCCGCUCGGCGCCGGGCCUUGGAUCUGGCCCAAGAACUGGGCUGCGUGACGUCCGACUCCACCGAUGAGAAGCUGGUCUCCUGCCUCAGAGCGGUGCCGUAUCGGGAUCUGAACGCCGCUCAGACCAAACUCCUGGUCACCCGCGACCCGUUUCAGUUCUGGUCUCCAGUCCAUCAGGCGGUCUCCAAAUCCUCGCCGUUCCACAAAGUGGACCUGUUGCUGGGAACUUCAGAGGCGGACGGCCUGAUCAGCCGAGCUCGCAGGAUAGAGGAGUUCGAGGUUCUGCCCGGUCAGGUCGACGACUCCAUGCCCUUCUACCAGGCUCUGAGCCGCGUGCUGGGCGGAGCCAACGGAAACGAGCUACUGGGGGAGGUGGUCUCCUCUCUGGACCACAAUCCUUCAGCUGCGGGAUACAGCCUGUUCUCCAGAACGCUCGACAACGCCACCAGAGACCUGUUCAUCAUUUGUCCCGCGCUGCAGAUGGCGGCUAACUGGGCCGAAAGUAGAGCCAACGUCUUCAUGUACCACCAGCCUGCCGCGGACGCCGCUGACAGGGGCGACUCCCUUGUUCCGUGGGAUGUGCAGCUGGUGUUUGGCGCUCCACUUUACUCGCAGCGGUUCACGUCUUCUGACCGGCGCCUCUCUCUGGCCGCCAUGAGCUACGUCUCCAGCUUCAUCCGGACCGGAAAUCCGAACCCGUGGCCCGUGACGGCGGAGUCGGUUCUUCCUCGCUGGCAGCCAGUCACUUCAUCUCAGGCUCCGCCUUCCUACUUGGAGCUAAGCCCCGCCCUCAAGCCCCAGCAGGGUUUGAGUCAGACCUUCUGUUCCCCGUGGGGUCAGCUGUUGGCGAGGCAGAGCAGCGAGGCAGAGCGGCGAGGCUGAGUCAGGUGACCGCAGUAAAAGUUCCUCAUCAGACAUUCAGACUUUUUCAGAUGUGUUGGGGGCGGAGCCUGUCCUCACCCCAGCACCUCAUCCAGCCAAUCUUUGACGGAGACAGACGUCUACAGACAGCUUUGUUUCCCAUAAUUCCCUCUGAUUUCCAAAGUCUUAAUCAUCAAUAAAAAGCAGCUGAAACUCA